GGGGAAUAUUGGACAAUGGGGGCAACCCUGAUCCAGCAAUGCCGCGUGAGUGAUGAAGGCCUUCGGGUCGUAAAGCUCUUUUACCAGGGAUGAUAAUGACAGUACCUGGAGAAUAAGCUCCGGCUAACUCCGUGCCAGCAGCCGCGGUAAUACGAAGGGGGCUAGCGUUGUUCGGAAUUACUGGGCGUAAAGCGCACGUAGGCGGCUUUGUAAGUUAGAGGUGAAAGCCCAGGGCUCAACCCUGGAAUUGCCUUUAAGACUGCAUCGCUUGAAUCAUGGAGAGGUGAGUGGAAUUCCGAGUGUAGAGGUGAAAUUCGUAGAUAUUCGGAAGAACACCAGUGGCGAAGGCGACUCACUGGACAUGUAUUGACGCUGAGGUGCGAAAGCGUGGGGAGCAAA
rnacentral:rRNA from 1 species